UCCUGGCUAGCUCAGUUGGUAGAGCAUGAGACUUUUAAAUCUCAGGGUCGUGGGUUUAUGCCCAACGUUGGGCA
rnacentral:tRNA from 1 species